UUUAUUGUCAGUUGGUGUUA
rnacentral:snRNA from 1 species